AGUAAUGCGUGACCAACCUCGCCCCAUGCUCCAGAAUAGCUCUUGGAAACGGGUGGUAAUGCUGGAUGCUCCAACUUGACGCAUGUCUUGUUGGAAAGUGUUUAGUGGCAUGGGAUGGGGUCGCGUCCUAUCAGCUUGUAGGCGGGGUAAUGGCCCACCUAGGCUUCGACGGGUAGCCGGCCUGAGAGGGCGGACGGCCACAUUGGGACUGAGAUACGGCCCAGACUCCUACGGGAGGCAGCAGCA
rnacentral:rRNA from 1 species